AGAUUGAACGCUGGCGGCAGGCCUAACACAUGCAAGUCGAGCGGCAGCACGGGUACUUGUACCUGGUGGCGAGCGGCGGACGGGUGAGUAAUGCCUAGGAAUCUGCCUGGUAGUGGGGGAUAACGCUCGGAAACGGACGCUAAUACCGCAUACGUCCUACGGGAGAAAGCAGGGGACCUUCGGGCCUUGCGCUAUCAGAUGAGCCUAGGUCGGAUUAGCUAGUUGGUGAGGUAAUGGCUCACCAAGGCGACGAUCCGUAACUGGUCUGAGAGGACGAUCAGUCACACUGGAACUGAGACACGGUCCAGACUCCUACGGGAGGCAGCAGUGGGGAAUAUUGGACAAGUGGGACGAAAGCCUGAUCCAGCCAUGCCGCGUGUGCGAUGAAGGCCGUUGGUUGUAAAGCUACGUUUUGGCGAGGAACGAAACGGACGUGCCUAAGUACGGACGUCACGUGACGUACUGACAGAAUAAGCACGACUAACGUACGUCG
rnacentral:rRNA from 1 species